rnacentral:rRNA from 1 species
GACGAACGCUGGCGGCGUGCCUAAUACAUGCAAGUAGAACGCUGAAGGAGGAGCUUGCUUCUCUGGAUGAGUUGCGAACGGGUGAGUAACGCGUAGGUAACCUGCCUGGUAGCGGGGGAUAACUAUUGGAAACGAUAGCUAAUACCGCAUAAGAGUAGAUGUUGCAUGACAUUUGCUUAAAAGGUGCAAUUGCAUCACUACCAGAUGGACCUGCGUUGUAUUAGCUAGUUGGUGAGGUAACGGCUCACCAAGGCGACGAUACAUAGCCGACCUGAGAGGGUGAUCGGCCACACUGGGACUGAGACACGGCCCAGACUCCUACGGGAGGCAGCAGUAGGGAAUCUUCAGCAAUGGACGGAAGUCUGACCGAGCAACGCCGCGUGAGUGAAGAAGGUUUUCGGAUCGUAAAGCUCUGUUGUAAGAGAAGAACGAGUGUGAGAGUGGAAAGUUCACACUGUGACGGUAUCUUACCAGAAAGGGACGGCUAACUACGUG